rnacentral:rRNA from 1 species
GUAGGAUCCUAGCGUUGUCCGGAUUUACUGGGUGUAAAGGGUGCGCAGGCGGACUUGUAAGUCAGGGGUGAAAUCUCGGCGCUUAACGCCGAAACUGCCUUUGAUACUAUAAGUCUUGAGUUUGGUAGAGAUCCGUGGAAUUCCGAGUGUAGCAGUGAAAUGUGUAGAUAUUCGGAAGAACACCAGCGGCGAAGGCAGCGGAUUGGGCCAAUACUGACGCUCAGGCACGAAAGCAUGGGGAUCAAACAGGAUUAGAUACCCUGGUAGUCCAUGCCCUAAACGAUGUACACUUGAUGUCGGUCUUUAACGGGUCGAUGUCGGAGCUAACGUGUUAAGUGUACCACCUGGGGAGUACGCUCGCAAGGGUG